UACGGAGGGAGCUAGCGUUAUUCGGAAUUACUGGGCGUAAAGCGUACGUAGGCGGCUUUGUAAGUAAGAGGUGAAAGCCCGGAGCUCAACUCCGGAACUGCCUUUUAGACUGCAUCGCUUGAAUCCAGGAGAGGUGAGUGGAAUUCCGAGUGUAGAGGUGAAAUUCGUAGAUAUUCGGAAGAACACCAGUGGCGAAGGCGGCUCACUGGACUGGUAUUGACGCUG
rnacentral:rRNA from 1 species